GGGUUGUGAGGUUAAGCGACUAAGCGUACACGGUGGAUGCCCUGGCAGUCAGAGGCGAUGAAGGACGUGCUAAUCUGCGAUAAGCGUCGGUAAGGUGAUAUGAACCGUUAUAACCGGCGAUUUCCGAAUGGGGAAACCCAGUGUGAUUCGUCACACUAUCAUUAACUGAAUCCAUAGGUUAAUGAGGCGAACCGGGGGAACUGAAACAUCUAAGUACCCCGAGGAAAAGAAAUCAACCGAGAUUCCCCCAGUAGCGGCGAGCGAACGGGGAGCAGCCCAGAGCCUGAAUCAGUGUGUGUGUUAGUGGAAGCGUCUGGAAAGGCGUGCGAUACAGGGUGACAGCCCCGUACACAAAAAUGCACAUAUUGUGAGCUCGAUGAGUAGGGCGGGACACGUGGUAUCCUGUCUGAAUAUGGGGGGACCAUCCUCCAAGGCUAAAUACUCCUGACUGACCGAUAGUGAACCAGUACCGUGAGGGAAAGGCGAAAAGAACCCCGGCGAGGGGAGUGAAAAAGAACCUGAAACCGUGUACGUACAAGCAGUGGGAGCACGCUUAGGCGUGUGACUGCGUACCUUUUGUAUAAUGGGUCAGCGACUUAUAUUCUGUAGCAAGGUUAACCGAAUAGGGGAGCCGAAGGGAAACCGAGUCUUAACUGGGCGUUAAGUUGCAGGGUAUAGACCCGAAACCCGGUGAUCUAGCCAUGGGCAGGUUGAAGGUUGGGUAACACUAACUGGAGGACCGAACCGACUAAUGUUGAAAAAUUAGCGGAUGACUUGUGGCU
rnacentral:rRNA from 1 species